GACGAACGCUGGCGGCGUGCUUAACACAUGCCAGUCGAACGGAAAGGCCCUGCUUUUGUGGGGUGCUCGAGUGGCGAACGGGUGAGUAACACGUGAGUAACCUGCCCUUGACUUUGGGAUAACUUCAGGAAACUGGGGCUAAUACCGGAUAGGAGCUCCUGCUGCAUGGUGGGGGUUGGAAAGUUUCGGCGGUUGGGGCUGGACUCGCGGGUUAUCAGCUUGUUGGUGGGGUAGUGGCGUACCAAGGCUUUGACGGGUAGCCGGCCUGAGAGGGUGACCGGCCACAUGGGGACUGAGAUACGGCCCAGAAUCCUACGGGAGGCAGCAGUGGGGAAUAUUGCACAAUGGGCGGAAGCGUGAUGCAGCAACGCCGCGUGCGGGAUGACGGCUUUCGAGUUGUAAACCGCUUUCGCCUGUGACGAAGCGUGAGUGACGGUAAUGGGUAAAGAAGCACCGGCUAACUACGUG
rnacentral:rRNA from 1 species